CCAAGUGCUCCCCUGCAGGGUGAAGGAAAUACUUAAAGGUUGUAUCUUUGUGCAGGUUUGGCUUUGGAGUUUUAGAGAGAGAGUAGUGAGUGAACCAUUUGGUGGUUUGUCGAAUUGGAAUGAUAAAGAUGGAAAUAUUGACCCUUGCUCUUGGUUUGGAGUUGAAUGCUUAGAUGGAAAAAUUGUGGUCUUGUGAGGUUCUUGCUGAGAUCUGAAAGGGAAUAUGAACAAGCUUUCGAAGCUAAUUGCAUUUGUGAAGGUCACUCAAUAGCCACAUGCUCCUUCAGAUAUUUCACUCUUACAGGUUGUUCUACCUGUUUUCAAAUUGUUUGUGCUGACAAGGAUAUUGAAAGCUUGGAUGAAGUGAAGAGAGGUUCAAGGAAGAGUAGUUGUUUAGCC